AGAGAACGCAACGUAAUUCUUUAUGAUCCACAUGCAUGAAUAGGCUCCAGCCACCACAGACAGACACAGCAGGCACAAGAGCUGUUCUCUGCCUUGCGGGGUCUCAAGUGUAAAGGUGGAGCCUGACAUAUGUGGCCUGCUCUCUGAAGUGACAGGAGCUGAAUUGGAGAAGGGAAUGGAAAUGGCAGAGACUCCACUCCGGUCCUAGGACAGCCCCCGAAUGGAAGUGACAAGGUACCGCUUCGGAAGGGAAGAAAGAAGGGAAGGGAUGGAGGCUUCCGGAGUCAAGAAGUCUAAGGAUGUUGGCUGGCAUGCCCAAUGGAUGCGUCAGUCGCCUCAGACGAUGGCCAGAGUGGGGAUGGAGAGG